AAAUUGAGCUUCAGAGAUACAGCCAAACAUGAAGUAAAUAAUGUCAAAGACUCUUGGAGACUCUGGCCUUGGGGAGGCAGCAUAGCUCAGCAGGAACUACCAUGGGUUUAGACUCAGAACUCCUGGUUUCUGCUCUCAGAUCUUCAGUCCAGGAAGAGACCAUCUAGGAGCAGUACAAGCCAUGAGACAAGCAAGUAGAAACUUUAAGAGAGUGAGAAGACCGGAAUCCAUAAAGAGAUCAUUAAAAAAAAAUACAAAAAACUGGCAUAUUUGCCCCAGUGAAGAGAAGAUAUAGAGAGCAAGAUCAUUCAGAGUUCAAGCAUCAGGCAACAUCUACCUAGUGAGCCUGAAGAACAGAGCUUCCAGAAAUCCUUCCAGAGUAGAAGAGGACCAUUUUGAGAACCAAUAAAUGGCUGGACCUGCAAGAAAGAUCAUUUGAAUGUAACUGUUUUAAGAUUUAAGAGAAUUUCUAUCGAAAUUACUCAAGACCUUGAACUAAAGUCUUAUAAAGAGCAACAUCCCCCCACCCUCUCCCCCAAACUACCAACCCUACUUCUAGUUCUUCCUCUGAAGCACCCCAUGAGGAGAACAACUUUCUGGAGAAAUGCCUCAGCAGCCUCAAUGUCCCCAACAUUAACUGCUAACCAACUCUACAAAAAGGCAGGUAAACUCAAGAGAGUUGGGAGUUGUAGCACGCUCAUUUCACUUAUCCAACCAUUGGCCAUUCUUUCAGCCCAUCCAUCUUCAUUUAUUUCCUACCAACUAAUACUUACAGAGUAGCCAAGCUGGUGAGACUGAAACAACAAGGCAUCUUGGAGAGAAACAGGAGAUAGUGAGUUAUAGGAGAGUUAAACUACUACUUCUUCUUCAACUUCUUCAACUACCAUCUUUUCUCAGAUUCUUAUGAAGAUAUCCCAGGACUGAGAGCACAAGAGUCUUGGGAAUUUCAGUAGUUCCUUCCUUUUCCAGUUCUAUAAUCUUGCUUCUAGCUUUGUCUUCAUAGCUAUCAUUGUGAAGAGUAAUCCUUGUAAAGAAAGGGAUCACCAUCUUCACUACCCCUAACACUAGCUGAUGACCAAAUGCUACAGCAGCCCUUGCCUCCUCAGCAAUCACAGAUGAUGAAGACCCCCCCCCCAAAAAAAAAGCUUCUUACCAGCAAUGUCUUUAGUACUGUUAGGUGAUUUUAAAAAUAAAUGAUUUAAUCACUUGAAAAGUGGCUUUAUUAAUUGCUUUGCCACUAAACCCUAAGGACCAUGGGGCCUUUUCAUGUGAUUUGUUUCUGAAAUCUCCUGUAUGCCUUAUCUCCUAAAUAAGUUUCUUGGGAGCAGAUACUGUUUCCUCCCUUCUCUUUGUACCCCAAGGACCAGUGAUUAGCAAAGUCUUAGUAUCUAGUAAGAACUUUUUUAAUUUUAAGUAUAAACCUUUAGAAUUCACACAUUCAAUUUUUACUACAUAAAAGUAAGUCACUGAAUAUCAGAAGCCUUUAAAAUUCAAUUCAUUGAAAAGUAUUAAACUUGGAAGUUAAUGGUGAAGAGGCAGAAGAAGGAGGAAGAGGAGGAGGAGGAGGAGGAGGAGGAGAAAGAGAAA